rnacentral:tRNA from 1 species
GCCCGGGUGGCGGAACUGGUCAGACGCUGAGGGCUUAAACCCCUCUGGCCCGCAAGGGCCGUGUGGGUUCGAAUCCCACCCCGGGCA